rnacentral:lncRNA from 1 species
AAUAUAUUCUGACAUAAUGCCUUACUGGUGUCUUGUAUUCCAAAGUUGGUCUUUAUGUUGCAGAACGAUCGACUGCUCAUUUGUAGGGUUGUUUUUCAUUUCCAGUGUCAACGUUAUGCAAUUUAAAAAGAGACAACAUGAAAUUUUUCAAUAGACAAGUUCACAAUUUUAUUUUGAGUACAUUCUGUAGUCACUCAUCAGUCCAAAUCAGCACGUAUAUACUAGUAAAAGGAGC